rnacentral:lncRNA from 1 species
GGUGCUAUGCUAAAUCCGUGCAUGAAAUAUAAUAAUAUGUGCCACUUUAGUACUCUUAUUUAUACUAACUUAGAAAUAAAUACUAACCAUGAUUCUGAACAAGUACAACCUGAUUUGUGGACGGCUACGGCUGAUGCAAAGGAUUACAUAGAAAAAUUAUAUAAUCACUAUGCUGAUUUAUUUGAUUUAGCCGUACCUACAAAUAUCACUCCAACUGUCGCUCCUCAUCCUCCCGAGGAGCCAUCAUCUUCUAAAAGGCCAGCACAUAGUGGUUUUCCUGAUUCCUUUU